CAGCCGCCGCGGGAAUACGUAGGUGGCAAGCGUUGUCCGGAAUUAUUGGGCGUAAAGGGCUCGCAGGCGGUUUCUUAAGUCUGAUGUGAAAGCCCCCGGCUCAACCGGGGAGGGUCAUUGGAAACUGGGAAACUUGAGUGCAGAAGAGGAGAGUGGAAUUCCACGUGUAGCGGUGAAAUGCGUAGAGAUGUGGAGGAGCACCGGUGGCGAAGGCGACUCUCUGGUCUGUAACUGACGCUGAGGAGCGAAAGCGUGGGGAGCGAACAGGAUUAGAUACCCGUGUAGUCCCUGUCUCUUAUAC
rnacentral:rRNA from 1 species